UUAACCGACAAUGUUUAACCUAAAAGCAUGUCCUAGAGCCGCGGAAUGAAGAUUUGACCGACAAUGUUUAUUUCCUUGCGAGUUCGAAUUCCAAGGCACAUCAAAUGGAACAUUCAGUUUCCAUUGAAUGAAUGGAACUUGAAUUAUUAUACUUUAUUUUAUUCCUAAGAAUCAUUCUUUAGUGUAAUCUUUAUUUUUAAAAGUAAGUUUGCAAUGGAAAA